UUUCUCUCCUUCUUCCUCUUCUCUCUUUUCUUCCUCUUCUUUCUCUUUUAAAAGAGGAUAAGUGAUGCCGGGGUCCAAGAACCAUCCAAAAAUAGAGUAUCGAAAUUUCUCUUUUUGAGUGACUUUUGUCACUUCAUGAAAUCGUGGUACCUUGAAAAGAA
rnacentral:ribozyme from 13 species